AUUGAACGCUGGCGGCAUGCUUACACAUGCAAGUCGAACGGUAACAGGGAGCUUGCUCCGCUGACGAGUGGCGAACGGGUGAGUAAUGCGUCGGAACGUGCCGAGUAGCGGGGGAUAACGCAUCGAAAGGUGUGCUAAUACCGCAUACGUACUGAGGUAGAAAGUGGGGGACCUUCGGGCCUCACGCUAUUCGAGCGGCCGAUGGCCGAUUAGGUAGUUGGUGGGGUAAAAGCUUACCAAGCCGACGAUCUGUAGCUGGUCUGAGAGGACGACCAGCCACACUGGGACUGAGACACGGCCCAGACUCCUACGGGAGGCAGCAGUGGGGAAUUUUGGACAAUGGGCGCAAGCCUGAUCCAGCAAUGCCGCGUGCAGGAAGAAGGCCUUCGGGUUGUAAACUGCUUUUGUACGGAACGAAACGGUCUGGGUUAAUACCCUGGGCUAAUGACGGUACCGUAAGAAUAAGCACCGGCUAACUACGUGCCAGCAGCCGCAGUAACAC
rnacentral:rRNA from 1 species